GCAAGGCAAGGCAAGGCAAGGAAAGGAAAGGAAAGGAAAGGAAAGGAAAGGAAAGGAAAGGAAAGGAAAGGAAAGGAAAGGAAAGGAAAGGAAAGGAAAGGAAAGGAAAGGAAAGGAAAGGAAAGGAAAGGAAAGGAAAGGAAAGGCUGGAAAGUGAUGAGAAUAGAUGCAAAACGUACUGUACUUUCAACUCAUGACGUGCCAGUAUUCUGCUGACACAGAGGAAGGCUGCUGUGCUAGGAUGGAGCUAUGCCGCUACGCCACUAUGCCACUCUUCUAGUCAGUAGAAGAGAUGGCUGACAGCAAUCCCAGCAAGGGUAGAACACUGCUCUCAGCCACAGAUAGUUAAUUGCAGGAGAUGCUGGUAUUUUGCAGGCCACCACCAGUGCUGUGGAAAAAUGUGCUGCCCGCAGUGUGUAAUAAUUUAACGCUGUUUCUUAAUGCGAAUCAGGCACAUCUAGACUUCUGGCGUGAGCUGGGGUUCUCACACAAGGUCUAUUCUGAGCUCUCAUUGCAGCGAAAUAAGAGCUGUGCAUAUGUCAGUGUAUUAAAGGUUCUGUGUGCUAUGAAACCCAGUUGAGAAAGUUUCUCACAAGGCUCCUUAUGCUUUUGGAUUUGGAAAUCCAGAAAUCCUUCGAGGGCACAACAGUUGGGUGAGAAGUGUGGCUUUGAUUUCUGCUGACAAGUAAUAGGAGUUUAAGCCAAAUUUACCUCUCUUUAAAGCAUAACUCAGCAUUUUUCUGUUCAUUCUUGUUAUUUCUAUGCUUCAGAAGAGCACCAAAUCAAAGACCAGAGCCACAGAAUUAUAAAUACUUACUUUACUUAUGAAAAGUAAAAUAUUUCCAAUAAGUAGAAAGUGGCUGCUGAGAUACUGCAGUACAGAUCACAAAUAACAGAGUAUAAUUAUAUCACAUACUGAUUUCAUUGAUCGAAUCGUAGAACCAUAGAAUCAUUGAAUGGUGUGGGUUGGAAGGGACCUCAAAGGUCAACCCCAUUCCAACCUCCUUCAUGGGAGGGGCUGCCCCCCACCAGCUCAGGCAGCCCAGGGCCCCGUCCAACCUGGUCUUUAGCACCUCCAGAGAUGGGGCACCACAGCUUCUCUGGGCUGCCUGUGCCAGUGCCUCACCGCCCUCUGAGUAAAGAAUUUAAUCCUAACAUUUAACCUAAUUUUUCCCUCUUUUAGUUUAAAGUUAUUCCCCCUUGUCCUAAUGUGUCAGUUUUUUUAAAUAAUGGCAGGAAAAUGGAGACUUGCUCUUGUCAGAAUAGCUCUAUACACAUCAUGAAGAUGUUGGUAGUAAGAAGAUGGAAAAGUAAAAGACUUCUCAUGGGUUAUUACUGCCUAAAUCUGCAACUCUUCCAUGGAGAGACAAUUAAACAUUUGGAUAAAGAAUGAGAUGAAAUAGUUAAUCCAAUACCAGCAUUAUCUAGAAUUACCAAUUAGUUACAAUGAUUUAUAAAACAGUUUGUAUUUGGCCUGACAAAUAAAGAAUAAUUUUUCUCAGAGUAAAGUUAAUUUAAAAAAAAGAAUCAUCUUAAGUCCUUGAAAACUCUCGUGAAGGUAACCUUUUGGCCAGAAAAGCAAUGCUGCUGUGAAGACUAGAUUUUAAUUAAAAAUACACAUAUAUAUUUGCAUUCCAACUAAUUUCUUCCCCAGUGUUGCUCAGUUCUCAGGCAAGAAGGAGAACAACCACAUGUAAUUGUAGACAUGUUAGUCAACAGCCCUAAGAAAAGUUCAGUUUUCAACUACACCCAUUUAACGGCCUUUGAGGAUCAGAAUAAACUUAGGACUUCAUUUUGCAGUGUUUAAAUGCCAUUUUUAAUGAGUCUGGUGCAAUCAGCAGUACACUGUUCUUGUUGUUCUGUACUGUCUCCUUGGCUUAUGCAUCUGAAAGCUGUCAAUGUGCUGAAGCUGCUCCUGUAAGAGUUCAAACUAAAUGAAUUAAUGCACACUAAGAAGCAAUGUGUAUUGUUAUUCACUGCUGCAGUUUUCAAUGAUCAUUUCAAUUGCAAUGAGGACCAGAACAUGGCCACUUUAUCAUGUGAGCCAGGAAGAAGUUAGCAAUUAUUUGUUUCCAAAAUCUGAUGAACAGUGAAUAGUUCAGACCAGCAGGAUUUUGUCAGAUAGUCAAAACACAAUAUCAAACCACUAAUAGGACUAUAGCUGCCAGAUGUGCUAUUGCACAAUACCGUACACAAUUUUAUCAAAAAAAUCUCAUAAACUGGAUACUUUUAGAUUUAAAACAGUAGCUUCCACAAUACAAAAUGCCACACAUAUUUCUAGUGAGAAAACUUAGGCAUGAUGUAAAUAUCUGUACCAAUCCAUAGCAGAAGACAUUGACAGCUGUAGGGUCUGCCAUCUGAAAAUGUUCUCUUGUUAACAUAGCAAUCAUCUAAGUCUCACCUAAAUCCUCCCAGAAAUAUGCAAUUAUAGCAAGAGAGAGAGAAGAAAUCAAGCAUGCUGACUUCUGUUUGAAUUCCAGUUAUUGUUACAACCUCGAUCCAGUUACAACUUUGAUUUCCUAUCCAUGGUUACAGGAGAAAAGAAGCUGUACCAUACACCUCUUCUACUGAAAUUACAUAAAAGAAUAUUCCACCCGGGCUCUUUGUAAGCAGUGGAACGUGAGUCCAUCUAGAAAGUUGCUCAUGGGACAUCUGAACAGGAACAGGGAGAAAAAUUGAGUCAUAGUAGGCAGAUUGAUAAACAAAGAUUUAAAAGUCAUUGUUUCAGGAGACACAGUGCAAGAGCUCAGCUCCCUCCCAGGAAUCUAUGCAGAUAGUACUUAUGCAGAAGAUAACCCCAGCUGACCUUUCUGGCAUUCAAAGGGUAAUAGAUUUGCUGAGAUGAACCAGUAAAUAGAGACAAUAUUUCCAGUGUUUCAGUCAAAAAAUCUCCCAGUUGACACCAUCACUACUGUCCUUCUUCAUCUUAUGUAGCCAUGGCAGAAGCACACAGAGUAAGACCGGCUGCGAGAAAAUGUUGUGCUGCUUUUGUUCAAGCUCCACUACCUCCCUCUUUCAUUGAAUCUGAACAAUAUCUUGUUCUACACCCGUCUGCUGGGGGAUGGGAAAAGCAAUUAACCUUUAAAACUUUGGUGCCAUAGUGUAAUAGGUGUCCCUUUUCUCCCUUCAUGGCCAUUCCAACUGCAUGCUAUUAAAAUCUCUUUAGUACCCCAGUACUUAUUUCUAACAUUGCAAUCCAAAUGGUUUCAGAGACAGGUAAGAAUCCCAAUGCAAGCCAUGUCAUUUUUUCUUAUUUGUUUGCAAACCACAAGCACUUUAAAGUAGAGGAAUUAACAGUUAACUGCCUUAUAUUGCCUAGGAUAUUGCUUUUAUCAGAUAUAAGACAAUGCAUAUUUCAUUUCAACAUAAUUAUCUGAACUCUGUCUGAAAACAGGAAACCACUAGUUUUCUUACAUACUCAAAGAAUAAACAUAUUUCCCUCUGAAAGAAAAAAGUGCAUACAUAUUGCUCAACCUCAGCUGUAUCCCCAGUCACAAGACCACCAUAUGCCUUUUAUAUUUUUAUUGCUCUUUUUUUUUUUUUUUUUUUUUUUUGUAUUUUUGGGAAAUGCCCAACAUAAACGCUUCCAUCCUUGCUUUGGUGGGGUUUUGAAGUGAUGAAAGCUGACUUGACUGACUUCUGUGUAAUGGGCAAAUUAACAAGACCUCACCGCAGAAACUUCUGGUCUACUAUAAAUGUAAGGGUGCCCAUAGUGCCGUAUUAAUAACCGGUACUUGAUAUGAAGUUAAACAGAAGCUUCCUGACUCUGAGAUCCUCUCCAGAAAGCAGUUUCUGUGGGAGCUGAGCAUACUGAACAAAAGGAAUACUUGGUUUCUUAACACUGCACUAUCACAGUUCUGCUGUCCCUUGCUGAACAAAAGAGGUUCAAGGAAAGAAUAUCAGUAAAAAAUUUCCAGAAGAUACCAAACAUUGCUGUCUCCCUAAUGCAGGUGAUGCAGAAACAUCUGAAUGCAAUUGCUAGCUUGGAGUGGCUUCAUGAACUAGUCCUACAAGCACACCUUCACUUUGAGCAGGUGCAUGGGGACAUCCUACCACAGCAUGUGUGGGGCUUGCGGGCCCAGCUAAUGAGUUGAAGGCAGUGGUAGCUGACAUCUACAGCACCUCAUAUUAUCCUUUAAGAGCAAGUUCUGGAAAGUCAUUAUACAUUGUAGGGGGAAAUAGAGAUGCCCUCGUCAUGAGUGUAAAUAUCAUAAGUACCAUGUCUACCUUAUGCCAUUGCUCACACUCUAGCAUCACUGCAGCUCAUAACAAUUGCAUUUCAGUAUUAUACAAAGCUGCUCAUUAGAAGGUCUCAAGAGCAAAAUAGUGUUAUGAAUAUCCAGGCAUGAGGGACUAAAGAAACUGAUCCACACUGUCAGAGUCAGGAGUAGAGUCAGCAGAGUUUGUUUCACGCAACCCUCACUUGCUGCUUAGCCACAUCACACUCAUCACCUGGGAGUCAGCCACUUGUGGCAGAAAGCUGCAGAAUCCACGUGCACACUUAGAGUUAUUACCUAUAUCCUUCCUUUCUCACUGAAACUUCCAAAAUAUGCCAGUCAAUUGACAGAUGAUAAAACUUUACUUAAGAGUGUUUUUCCAUGGUUUAACAAUGCCUUAUCUCUGGUUUACAGUUCCCUACCUUGGCUUAUUGAGAAAGGUGCUUACAGCAACCCUUCAUGGAAACCCUGACUGCUUCCUCCCACUCAGAACUAGGAGCACCUUGAAGAUGAAACUGCAAAGUCCCUUAGAUAAUGUGCACCAAUGUUUUCAUUGUGAGGGGCGAGGAGCAGGUUCCCAGGUCCUCACUACAUUCCCUUUCCUCUUCUGAAAAAGGGAUGUGAGUCCAGAUGGGUAGGACGGGACAUCUCAGAUGGGUCAGCUGCCAGGAUAGAAAAGAUCAAACCACCCUAGUCUCAUCAGAUGUUUCCCUGGUGCACUCUUUUGGUGUGCAGGAUUCGUAGGCCGCAUGCCUGCCUGCUCAGUCUGCUUCCCUGCUCUGCCAGUAUUCUCCCCAGCCCCACUUUUCCUUCUGUUUUCCUGUUAUUUUACCACCUAAUGCAACUUCCCCUUCUGCAUGGGAGGGCAAACCACACAUCUGAGGAGACAAUUGCUUCCUACAGUUUAGCUCACUCAAGUGGGCAAACAGUCCUUUGCAGAAAGGGUAUUUCAAUACUUGCCAUGCCUAUGCCAAAAUACUUGAGCAGAUUUUCGCAUCCUCUCUAACAAACUAAUUAUGUUGCUGGAGCCUGUUACUGUUGUUCUCAGUGAAGUCAUGUAAUAAAGUAGAUAAUUGAUGCCAUAGAAGUGGCAAAUGUCCUGUGUGCUAUUCACCUGCCCUUCCUGCCCUAGGAAGGAUGUGGGUUAAUCUUGAGAGGAAAGACAUCAGAUCAGUUCUGUUUCUUUUUUCUUUCAAAAUCAGCUGCUAAGUGAAAUAACAAAGUGUGCACAGGAAUACUAACAGAGCUUUGUUUUUCCUCUUUGCGAAACGCCAGCAGCUGCUUAGUGUUUUACAGAGCAAGAUAAGCAAUGUGACAUUUGUGGCCAUUCACAUGCAUUGAUUUGUUUUCAUUUAUUUUGCUCUCUACUGAAUUUCUUAGUGCUUUGGGGCUGGAAACAUGCCCAAAGUAUAUAAAAAUGAUGAAAUUGCUAGGAAGAAAAUAAAAUCAAGUAAACAAAUUGUGAGUUAAUUGUUCUUCUAUAAAGUGGCUUUGCUGACAAGAGAAUUAGAGCAAGAUGAUCUUGGCAAGCAGGAUGUUGUGUUAGCUGCAUAAACUUCUUCUGUGCUCAUGUGCAGCCUCUAAUAAUAGUCUAAUUUACAGGUUCAAAAGAUGAUUUUUUUUUUUUAACUGAACAUCAUUUAGACAAAAAUCUUUCAGUAUUCCAAAUCAGCUUUUCUAUUUACUUUGCAACUAUCUCCCGGUCUUCUUAAUUUUCCAGAGACUUUUUUCUUUUGAGUUUCAUUUAGUUGCUUUCUUUUCCAGAAUAGACCUAUUCUCCCUUUGAGAUAUACUUUACUAUAGAUUGUUUAAAAAAUAAUUAAAGAUUAAAAGAGGGAAAUGAGAGAGCUCGAUGACACAUCUUUAAUCAUAGCUUGACUUUUCUUGUAAAUUUAUUGAGACCUCCUGUCUUGUAGUUGGCAUUUCUUGCACAGAAUCUCCUUCACCACAACUCCACUUCCGCAAGUGAGGGAAAGAUACAUAAUGAGGCCUUCUAACUAAAAUCACUUCCAGAGUCAAAUUAUCAGUGCCCUGAAAUGUCACAUUAAUAACAGAUGCACAUUCUCCAAAUCAUUUCAGCAUGUAUUUCAGUAUGUAUUGUACAUUAAGGAAAGUGGAGUUGAGAGAAACCUAAAGAGAUGCCAUCCCCUUCUCUUCUUCCCUUUCCCUUAUUUCUCUGUCCCUCCUGGGGAGAAAAGUCAAUGCAGAAUGCAUCCUCACUUCUCCCAUGCCAGACUACUCACAUUGUAGCUGUAUGCAUUUAGUCUUCAUGCGGCAAAUACCUAAGCACUUGCUACCUUGGGUCACACACAGAGGGCUCAAACUGUACUUCUUUUAUCUCUGAAACAGUAAAACCAACAUUUCUGUCUGUCACAUAACCUAUUUUCACCACAGUAUGAGUCACUGGAAUUAGAGUGGGCUGGAGACCAAAAACAAGAAGGAAAGAUUUGCUGCAAUGUUCGCAAAUAAAAGAGAAGCCGAAAUUGGUCUAACUUCUGAAGAGUACACUUGCAAGGGAUUAGGCAAUCACUGACUUUCAUGGAAAUGCUUCGGCAGCUCUAUUUCACAAAUGCCCCACACAAGAUGAAAUGGACUCAUACUGGCCAAACAGCCAUGGGGAGAGUGUAGCUCCCAGUUCGUUUAUCCUUAGCACAGAAAUCUGUUUACAGGGAUAUAAACUGAAGAUGUUUCCAGUAAUGCUGCCCUCAGCAAUGAAAGAACUGCAGAGCACCAGUCUUCACUGAAGCCCACUUGCUGCAUCCCAGUUAAUGGACUUUCUAAGCUCUGUUUAUAAAAUUCCUUUUUAUUUGAGUAUUGCUGCUCAAUGGGCAUUACAUUUUGUGGGAAUUAUUGUUCUAGAGGUAAGACCGUGACAAUGUUUGUGGUCAACUUUUGUGCUCAUGUUUCGCAACACCACUUGAAGCAUGUCAAAAUAAGGCAAGGAUACCUAUCAACAUUAUACCAAGCAUGAACUUAUUGAUAAAAAAAAACAAAAAACCACAAUGUGAACUGUUUUUUUAUUUCAUGUACUGUACACACUGCCCAUUGUGUAUCCAAGAAAGAGGAGGACCUACAUUUUGAUUAAUUUGACCCAGUCUAGAUGGCAUUCUUCAAAAAAGAAUCUGUGCUUUUGGCAGUUUCUACUGUGGCCAUAUAAGAUGCUGUGGUCAGUAUAUGGUUCUGUCAUGGUAGUGAACAGAGAUCCUUCAGUGUGGGAGCUCUUCUGUGAAAACUGGCUGAGACAGUUGGGCUUGUUCAGCUUUAAGAAGGCUCCAUGGAGACCACACUGUGGUCUUUCAGUACCUAAAGUGGCCUAUAGGAAAUCUGGAGAGACACUCCUUAACAGAGAAUGCAGUGAUAGGACAAGGGGUAAUGGUUUAAAACUAAAAGAGUGUAGAUUGAGAUUAGACAUUUGGAAGAAAUUCUUUAUUUUAAGAGUGGUGAGGUACAGGCUUCCCAGAGAAGCUGAGGAUGUCCCUUCCAUGGAGGUGUCCAAGGCCAGUUUGGAUGGGACACUGAGCAGCCUGAUCCAGUGGGUGGCAACCCUGCAGAUGGGAGGAGAUGGGAUCUUUAAGAUACCUUAGAACCCAAGCCAUUCUGUAAUUUAUUCAGUGAUUCUUUACUUCUAUGUGUUUCCAUCUUGAUAACAAAUAAGAUGCAGAAUUUAUUUGACCUACUGUUAGGAAAAGACGGACUACAUAAGAAAAAAAACAAACCAACCAUGCACAAGUGUGAAUCUUAAUUGCCCAGGAAGAUGGCUUUAAUCUUAUUAUAUUAAAACUGUAUUUUGGUAUCAUUCUGGUAACCAUGACUUAACAAUGAAUAAUUGAUAGCCCCUUUUCUAGGUUAAAUUAUUACUAGAAAAUUCAUCUGCUUUUGAUUUCCCCUUUUCUUGAAAGAAGGGGUCAUCUCUCUGUUAACACAUUUUGGACACAACAUUUCUAUAAAAAUAUCUUGAAAACCUCCCAAGACUAUGAGGUGGAUCAUCAUUUUCUAAUAAAUUAGCCUCCCCAUAGAAAUUUUUACAGAAACAGAACUUCUAUAUUAUGGUAUAUUCUUGUGUAAAUACAUGGUGUAAGCUGGUAAUGCCUGAAAGCAACAUGCAAACACAACUUUCAUGUUUACCUACCAACUUGUUUGUUCCUAGACUCCCAAGUCCCAAGUCUAGGACUGUUAUUUAUUUAGGGCUGAGUCUGUUGCAGCCCUAUAUUCUAGUGAGAGUUCUUAAACUCUGAGAAAUAGAAAUAGAAAUGAAGGUUGUAGAUGCCACUUCUGCCUGAGACUCGAUGCUAGUACAGUGUAACAUAUUCCAAACCAUCAGCCUGAGCCGAGGUGAGGCCAAUUCUCAAGGGAAAAAAUAAAGGGCUGGUAUGUCUCUGCACAGGGCCAAUGGAGGAGACAGCAAGAAGUCCCCUACCAAGCUAACUUUCUUCACCUGUUCUGGAUGAGGACAGACAUCCCAGCACUGGAGAAAGUGAGUUGUUCUGAAAUACAGAGACAGUAACUGCUCAGAAGAGAUGGCAUAUAGGGAAAUGGUUUAUCUGGCAUUUUUGACACAGACAUGCCAAGUCUGGUGCCUUUGCUCCUCUUACUUGGAGAGCUACUGUGUGUCCUAUGCUGAUGAAGAUGUGUCCAUCCUCUCCUGGCAGAGAAUCUGUGCACUUAACAAUAUCCCAGCUGCUCAGAAGACAGGCUAAAAUAAAUAAUUUUUUUAUGACAUCUAAGAGGUAACUUGGUUUUUCUACUCUUUCACAGUCUUUUGACUUCUUCUUCACCCUUUUUGUCCACUUUCAACUCCAUGCAAUAUUGUUCUUGUUAAAGUGCAGUUCACAGGAUUUUCUAACAAGAGUGAUAAAAACUAGUGUCUACAAUUAAAUUUAAAUCAAUUAAGAGAUUAUUAGGCUUUAUAUACAAAACCAGUGCUUGAGUUCAUAAUGAUUCAUUCACGAUUCUACAUGCAUCCAAAUUAGAAGUAGAAACAUGAAGUAUGGAGAACAAUUUGUUGAUGACUAAUGGAGAGUAACAUUUCGCUGCUACAAAAGAAAACUGAUUUAAUGUCAUCAUAGCUUCAGAUAGGCUUCACAUACCUACAACUCUUAAGGUGAAGCUUGCCAUGGAGUGAAUUACAUGUUGAAAAUUAGGUGAGAGACAGGUGAAAGAACCUGGAAAGAAUCAUCUGGCUAUGUCAAUAGAUUUCCAUUAAUUAUUUUACUGAAUUUUAAUACAUAUGCAUUUGGCCAUUGUACUGUCACUACAUCUAUUAUUAUUGUUGUUGUUAUUGUUAGUAUUACUAUUUAGUAAGACUGAUUUGUGAAUAAAGUCUUCUGGAGUGUAAAGACUCCGUUGGAGAAGGAUUCGUGUUACCUAAUGCUGGACAUCUCUGUUGAAGUCUGCCUUAGAGGUAGUCUACACUAGGCUUACAUUAUAGAUAAUGGAGAAGGCACAAAUAGGGUGUGAUUAAUUUCAUCAUGAAGUGGACAUCUAAAAUAAGUUCAUUGAGUCACACCCAAGAAAUGUUUUUAAUGACUAUAAUGUUCCUGGUUGCUAAAGCAAGACCAGCUUGUAAGAUACUCUGGAAGGGCAGAUAAGAAGAGAAACAGCCACUAAACCCUAAUAAAUCCAAUUCAAAGGAAGUCUUCAAAUGCAAAGGUUAAGCUGAGAGAAAGUUGUCUUUAUCAACUUGCAGAUAACAAAAUUAGCAAGGCAGAAAGAGGUGAAUUGCCUCUAUUCUUCUCAAAAGAAAGUUUAAGAAAAGUUCUUAACAAUUAUUCGUAUAUCAGUACAAUUUACUAAUUUGAUUAAAACUUACAUGGGAAGUGACCUCACUGUGAGUAUCUGCACAUUCCUUCCAUGGUUACUGACAUUUCUUGUGGGGGUCUGGAAUGAGCAGAGCUUUGGAGAAUGUGAUCUCUUUCCCCUCAUCAAACUGAUAAAUUGGAGGCAACCUUCUGAAUGUUCAUCACAGAAACUAGAGGAAUGAAAACAGUUCAGGGGAUUUCCAUGAAAAUUACCUUCCUGUUGAAUAGGAAUUGAAAAAAUAGGAAUGUCUAAAAGGAUUUCCAAGUAGAGAGUAGUGUAAAAACACAUGGAAAUACAGGCUCAGUGAUAGAGCAAACAGAUCACCUCACUGUUGUGUUAUGUUUCUAGUUUUUUCUUUCCUGGGUAGCUAAGGUAAAGAAAAAUGACACAUUGCAUUAGAAGUGGAAAAUGUUAUUCUAAGGCCGGCUUGAGCCUUUAAUGUACAAGGCCUCUGUUUUAUCUGAAAGCAGAAUGAAAAUCUAACUGAAGAAACUUUGAAAUUUUGAAACGGUGAAACUGAAUUAUUUUCUAGCUGCCUUGCUACAUAAAAUCCCCGUGCCAGGGGCAGGCAAAAUGCUAUGAACACAAGAACAGAUUGCAUUUAGGUGACCAGAAGGCCAGAAGAGUGUAAUGAAUAGCUUGUGUGAGCCAAGUGAAAAAUAAGGGAGAGUUUUAAAGAAAAGUUACCUGUAUUUGUUCCUCUCUUCUUCCCUUUGAUGUCUGGAUGAUGUUUUGCCACACUAGAGGUGCAGGCCAAGACAGGCUCUUUUUCACAGGCUUCAGCAGAAUAUGUCUAGGCUCCACUUCAUCUGUCUCUUUCAUAUACUAAAAAACACAACACCAAAUGGAUCCUGGUGCAUCUGGACAACAGAAAUACUACCUUCAAGAGCACUGUGUUGGAUGGGUGUUCAGGGAAAACUCUGUGAAUGAACACAGCAGAAACACAGAGACUCUGUUUGGGCAUGCAGGGAUGUACUUAGGAAAGCCAAAGCUUAUCUGGAGUUGAAGUUGGUGAGGGAGGUGAAAGCCAACAUGAAAUGUUUCUCCAGAUUCUUCAGCAGCAAAAGAAAGACUAGGGAAAAUAUGGGUUUGCUGCUGAGUGGAGAGAUUGAUCUGGUGACAAAAGACACAGAAAAGGACAAGGCAGUCAGGGCCUUCUACAUCUUGAUCUUUAUUGGUAAGACCAGGCCUCCAAAACCAACAGGAAAGUCCAGAGUGAGGGAGACUUACCCCUGAUGGAGAAGGAUCAGGUUAGGGAACAUUUACAUAAGCUGAACAUGCACAAUAUAUGGUGUCUGUUGGGAUACACCCACAACUGCUAAGAAGGCUGAAUGACAUCAUCAUAGAGUCACUCCUGGAAGGGUAAUGGUAAUAGACAGAGGUUCCCAUAGACUGGAAGAAAGAAAAUAUCAUUCCCAUCUUAAAGAAUGGCAAGGAGGAUCUGAGAAAAAACAAGUCAGUCUGUCUUACCUUGAUCACCGGGAAAGUGAUAGAACAAAUGAUGCUGGAAUUGUUUCCAGACAUAUGAAGAACAACAAGUCAAAUGGGAGCAGUCACCAUGAUUUUAUGCAGGGGAAAUCUUUCUUGGCAAACCUGAUAGCCUUCUUCAGUGAUUGGCUUGGUCAAGCCAGUCAGCAAGUCUGCAGAUGAUACGAAAUUGGGAAGAGUGGCUAGUAUGUUACACGGAUGUGCUGCUGGGAUAAUACACUGAAAGAGGUUCCCAAAGAGGUUGUGAAGUCUUUAUUCUCAGAGAUAUUCAAGCCUGACUGGACACAGUACUGUGCUGACUCCUCUUUGAGUAAGGGCGGUGAACUAGAUGAUCUCCAGAGAUGUUUUCCAGGUUCAACAAUUUGAGAUUCUAUAAAAUAAACUGAAAAAACUGUACAAAUGUCCUUUGGUUGUUGCUGGAUUUUGCUUCCCACUAAAAUUGCUUGGCACCUCCACUGCUAAAAGAGAAAAGUUUCUUACUUGGAAUGGGUGCAGGUCAUCUCAUUCCUGGAAGGUGUGCGUGGGGUUCAUCAGGAUUUAUUCAGUGUCAGCUUCUGAGAGCAAGUUUUGUUCACUUAAUCCUUCCGUGGUAUUGCCCCAUUGCCUAUGAACUCUCUGUAGUUUCAGAAUAUUCUUUAUUUCUUCUGGCAAAAGAAGCCUUGAUGUAGUUGAUGAAGAUAUACCAGGACAAUCCUGGUACAAGAAAUAAAGAAGAUUUUUCAUUUCCCUAAUUAGUUUACCAGCUGUGUAAUGUCCACCAAAGCAUUUUGAUUAAGUCACUUGAUAAAUAUCAGAAUAAUUUCAGAGCUUUUAAAAAAAUGAGAAGACACACCUGGCAACGAAACUCUCAAAAUCUAAAACAGGGUUAAAAUUAUGAGCUGUUAUUUCAAAAUCUGCCUACUCCCACUUGAGUAAUGCAGAUUUAGUGCCAAAAGAGGGGGAUUAAUAAGUUAAAUGUGUAAAAAAGAAACCAUUUAAUAAUUGUAUAUAAAAGGAAUAAUGAAGACAUAUUCGUUUACCUCACCCAGAUUCCCAGUCAGAAUUCUGCUUAGGCAAACAAUUCGUGCAUAUUUAAUGUAGAAAUUUAUUUCUCCCUCUUUUUCCUAAUUAUUUAUGCCUAAUCAUAUUCAGAAUGCAUAAGCAUCCUUUUCCAUAGACAAAUCCAUUUCCAAUACCUCAUCAGAUUGGAGUUUCCACUGAGGCUAGCUGUAGUUUUCUAAUACAAUAUUAUUAUAUGUUAAGUUCAGCUGAAAAAAGCUACCGAUACGAAAUAAAACAGUUUAAGUCUUGAUACUGUUCAUCUACCAAGUAGCAAAAUUUCAUAUGUGGUUGAGUCUGCUUUCAAGAUGAUCUAGUAAUUAACAGAAACACAUCCUUACAUAAAAAUAUAUUCUUCCCUGGACACGAUCGUGGACAAUCUGCCUUGGGUGUACACGUUUGAGCAGGAGGGUUGGACCAGAUAACUUCCAGAGGCCUCUGCCAACCAACCUUAACCAGACUGGGGUUCUGUACUUCUGUGAAAAACUUGGUUUUUUUUUUUUUUUUUUUCAUGAGACAUUAAAGGGGUUCCCUCAUAAUGCAUUCUGUGGAGAAAAUGCACUAAAGUUCCUAUUAAAUUCUCAUUUACCAGACCACUAAGAGAUUACCAGAGAGAUUCAGAGCUGAAAAGUAUUUGUGAAAUAUUCUGUUAAAUGCAGGAAAACAAAUCAGGUGGAAAUGUUCAGUCCAUACUGAAAUGUCAGCAGCUGUGCAGGGCUCCCAAAGUGAGAGUAUCUGGGUAUGAUUUGGAAAAACUUCCUCAGAAGAGAGACCCACCUGGUUUUUAUAUGCAUUAUUUCUUCUAGCAUUUCUUUCCUGCAACCUGUGCUGUGUUUUUGCAGCACUAGAAGAUAUCAGCAUAAAGCGUUAUUUAUUGAGAGGUUGGGGCAGAAGUGUACUGUUCAAUCCCCAUUCCAGAAUGAGCAGUCUGUAAGUGCUGCACUGUAUCAGUCUUGGACUAUCCUUUGGAUCACAAUAUGGACAAGUGCAACCACUGCAGCAGAACCGACAGAAGUCAAGCAGUUGCAGAAUUUAGUAUUUAUGAUCAUACUUGCAGUGUUUAGCACUGACCACAAAAAAACAUCAGCAGACUGAUUUCCCCAAGGAAUCUUCCCCUGCUAGGAGUCUUUCCCUAGUAGUAUCUUCCCCUCCUUCCCGAGCCCCAGUUUAUUUCCACAGCUAUAUAGCUGGCUCUCUUCCCAAGAGCAGAACUAAUCAGAGCUGCCAUUCUUCAUCUAGAAAAAAUAAUUACACUUUAGCAAUUAAUAGAUACGGAAAGUAACUUAAAAUGGCAUGGAUAUAGCAGAAAAAAUUGGCCUGGUCAUAACGCCCUGAAAAUAGCAUCGUUUACUGUCAAGGACUAGUAAUAUCCAUGAAGAGCACCACAAACUAGACAAGGAUUCAUCUGCAUGUAUGAAAAAAGAGCAGGUUGAAAAUGAUGCUGAUUUCUUUGGCCAAAUUCUGCUUCAGAUUAUGCCCAAACACUGUAGUCAAUUGCACACAACAGACAGGAAGGAGCAAAGUGUAUCCUUGAAAUCUUGUUUCAGACCUGUCUUGUGAGUAGCUGAUUAAAAGCCAUUACAGAGUUAGAUGCUUCUUAGUGGUAAAAAUGUAUGUAUUUUGGUCAGAAAAAAAAAAUAAUAACAAUUGUGACUUCUGAAAUCCAGUUUUGAACUAUGUACAUGGUCUCUGGUUUAUGGUAAAUCCCCCACUAGGAGAGGUAUGCAGGAAAGAAUAAAAUUAAAUCUGAAUCCAAACUCUCUCUGGUUUGGCAGGACUGACUCGCCAACACAGAAUCAGUUUGGACAAGGCACCUUUCCCUGCUUAUGGGAGUUGAGAUGUUCUCCGAGAUGAGGUUCUUACUCAUGAAGCCAUUAGGCAUCGUUAAAGGACUGGUGGGAAACUUGUGUUGGUGGUCUCUUAGAAACUCAUGACUACAUGAGUGUCAUGUCCCUGAUUCAAACUUAAAAGAAGGGAGAACUCAGGAAAACUGAAUAUAGCCAAAACUGUGCUUUUAAUGAGGGAAAGAAGAAAGAAAAAAAGAAGAGUUAAGACUGUGUCAGGUGUGACCACUUUUAGUCUCACCACAAUCUGUGUCACAGAUUCAAACCUUUACAAGUAUAAAAACAUAAAAUAGGUAAGCCACCACCUUUUUUUCAUUAUUAUUUUUUGCUGCUGCUGUGCUUCAUGAUGGGAUACUUUAUGUUCCGUAAGAUACUGGUUUCUUAUUCCCAAAUAUGCCUAAAGCUAUAUAGAUUUCAGGUUUAGUUACUCUCACCCUUGCUUGUAAAUAGUCCCAGAGGAGCAGAUCAGCACGUCUGACCCUGAUAAAUAAUCCAUUUGUAAAGGUACUCUGCUCUCAUGCUUCUGAGGUCACCCCCAGCACUUCAUCAUAAUUACAGCAUCACAGGGGCAGCUCUGGUUUCUGCUUUGCUUUCCUCCUGCUACUGCUGAGUGGGAGGAUGUGGCCACCUCUCUGGCUUCAGGAUGUUGCAUUUCCUUGAUUUAUGGCUGCCCUGGGGCUGCUCUGCAAGGCAGGGUCAUCCAGACCUUCCACAGCAGUGGCAGAAGCAAUCUCUCUUUUCCAGCUGAAGGGCUUGAAAUAGCUGUGUAAGGGCAAAGUAUCCUUUAAAAGACCCCAUAUAAGGCAUAAGUGCUGGAUUGAAGGCCUCGUGAAGGGAAUAGCACUGUCUUCCCCACCGAGACCAGUCCCAGAAGAUUUCUGAACGCUCAGGGCCCCGUAUAAGAAAGGAAAGCAUCAAGGAUAGCUAUUUUCAGUUCUCAGGUUCUUUCCUGAGCGGGGCUCCCCAGCUCCCUUGACACUGCAGGCCGCAGCCGCAGCCUGUCACACCCUGAGCGCUCCGGUCCUGGCAGCAUUCUCCACCACUGAAGUCAAUGAAAUUGCAGGCUUUCAUCACCUCUGGGGGGAGGACGGCUGUACGCAGGAGUCAGUUGUGAACGUGGCACAUUUCACACGCAUCCUUUGCACCGCUUGGCGUCGCGGAUCCGCUGGGAGCGAGCUGCGGUGUGUGUCAGCCGUGCCACUGCAAGGACAGGGACAGCUGCAGCCUCCAAACGGUGCGAAAGUUUUACACAGAGCUGCAUUUUACGCAUAUCUAGCCUGAGUUUACAGGCAUCUGUCAGCUAAGAUGGAUAUGGUAUGUGGGCCCUGGAGUAAAAAGAUGUCCACUUCAUUUUUCAAGAGAAUCCAACUCUUUUGGAAUGCUAUCAGUAGUAACAAAUAAUAACACCCCCGCCCCCACCCAAAAUUACUGCACUCACUUGCAGAGAGGAGAAAAAAUUGCUGCAAAAGCAUUUUGCAGCUCCUGAGAGCUCCAGACUGAAUUGCUUGGCAAGAUGUAAGGCCAUCCGUGUGCUCAAAGAAAGGGGCUCUGCAAUUAUCAGCCAGUAACCACCACUAGCAGUCGGGACCUGGUUGCGGAGGGUUUAACGUGAAUGUAAAUGAGGAGGGAGGGACAUAUGGGAAAGAGAUUGUGUGGCAUAUUUGUUUUGUUUUGACUUCUUUCCAGACAUAUUUCACUUUACAUAAAUAUUUGAAUGUUGGAUCAGACAGGAUUUGCAGCACAAUAGCAUUAGGAAUGUCUUUGCAAAAACUGUGAUAUGGAUUAAAUUAGCCUCCAAGCAGGAGAGGGGGGCAAAUUAAGCUUUCUCAACGUAUACAUUUGAGGACUACUCAGCAUUUAAUUAUUUACAGACCAGAGGGACUGUCUCCCUUGCCAGUUUCUCCUCUAUUUUUUUUUUUUGCCCAGCCCCCCCUCACUGUGGUACAGCUAACUGCCUAGUUAGCUAAAGUGUUCACUAAAGUGAACUGCCUUUUUUUUUUUUUUUUUUUUUUUUGGUGACAGACCCUAUCUGAAGUUCCUCACCCAAAAGAAGAUGUUUGCCAAACAAGGAGGUCAGGCAGCACGCAUGGGAUGUCACAUUACAAGUGGCCUCUCCCUGACCCCCUGUUUCAGCUGCAGAGGGUUAAAGCCGCUUUUUUUGGUAUCUUUGGCAUAGUCCUUCGUCUCCCCUGGCUGCGCAGGCAAGGUUAAGGAGGACCCACCCUGACCACAAGCGGCUUCCUGUAGCAGUGGGAAGCUUGCCCAGGUAGCGAGGCCAGGAGCCUGGCACCAGGAAGGCCUCUUGGUCUCCUCCAAGCGCCCACAUUUUCUCAGCUGGCAAAGGGGAUUUUUGAGGAAGGGCACUUGGAGGUAGAGGAAAAGCAAGAUACCUGGAGGAGAGCGCUGCAAGAGUGAAAUCUGCAAUGAGAAAGUAUUGAAAAGCAAAACAUCUCUUUUAAUGUUCUUUACAGUGGUGAAAGUCUGGACCAGCUCUGCAGAAGCCAGUAGGUGUAUUCUGAAUUCAGAGAGGAGUAAAGGAGAUAGCAAUCUGACCAAAACGCUUAAAAAGGUUUUUCUCAGAGUUUCUCAGGUCAGAGUUCCUCCAGCAAUAUACCGCCAGGAUAAAAUAGGUUUUCAGAUACAUCCUGUUGAAUAUCGAAUCUACUUUUAUUUUAAGCAUCUUUUAGAUGAAAGUGUGUUCGUUAAAUAAAAGGAAAGCAAAUGUAAGAGCUCGUAGCUAAGUAAAGCAGGAAAGGGCUUCAGAGUGAGAUUUGAUUGUUUACAUUCAAUGAAAGGAAAAGUCUGAUCUGGAGUGCUCAGAUUUAAUCUUGGUGCAGAUUAAAAUGGUGCUAUUGUGUUCUGCUGGGCUGAUUGGAAAGGUGAACCAAGGCUUUCCUCGGACUGUACCAUUUCAGUACAUAUACAGAUUUACAUACAGUAACACAAGACAGCCAUCCAAAAUUGCAGGGCCUGGGUUCUCCGCAAGAAGUAAUUCUGAUACUGUCUUUCAGAUUUUGAAUUUUUUCCUGCUGUUGUAAAUCACUCCUGAACGUGCCUUUUGGUGGGUUUUUCUGGCUGUUGCCUGAUGUUUCCUGUUUCUCCUGCCUGGAUGAAAAGUCAGCUGUACUGUACCAUGGGUGUAGUUGUUUUUUUAAGGAACUGCAGCAGAUUACUGCUAGCACACUUGCUACUUCUCUGCUGUAUAAUUAGGCAGUGCUCGCAUCCCUCAGCAGAAAUAGUCUGCAUGACAUGAGCAGUGCUGUCUAACCCUUUGGGACAAUCACAAACACAUGGUGACUUAGUGCAACACACUCCAGCUCAGAAAGGAGUCAAAUGUAAUUUCUGAUAAAAAAAAAAAAAAAAAAAAAAAAAAAAAAGUGCUUUGUUAAUACUCUUUUUCUACUAUUUUGUAUACAUAUAUAUAGUAUGCAAAGCAAGGCACUGAAGCAUGAGAUGGAAUUGCAUUACUCAGCAACCCAACGACCCUAACAGACACCUGGGGAGAGACAGCAAGUUAGGGUUUCAGAGAACAGCGCCAUGAGGUUUGUUUCUAAGAUGUACCCCAGCAUCAGAUGGCCUUCUCCUGUGUCUUGGAGCAAGCCUUUUAGUACUCUGCAACUUCAUUUAUCUUCUUAUAACGUGAGGUGCUCAGCUUCCAGCACCUUGGGAGGACUUCAUCAAAAAGUCACAGAAAUGCUUUGAAAAUGAAACCUAAUCUUUGCCAAAGCAGGUAGCAAAUAAAAUGGUGUAGGAACAUCUCUGUGAUUUACAAGCAGUCAGAUGGUGCAGCAGAGGGGAAAGCACUUGUGGGGAUAGACAAACAGCACCGUAAGUAGUGAGCUCCCUGCGUGGAAAACACCAGCACUAACCACAAAAUGAAUGUAUCCACCCAAGACUUGGGUUUUCAGACUCAAAACAUGUAGCCUAUCUGAGGUUGCAUCCUCCUGGCUGGCUUUGAAAGGAGGUGUUUACUAAUGCAGGACAGGUGGACCUUGUUCAUCCCUUUCAAUCUAAGUUCAGUUUCUUUCACAGCAGUAAGGAAAGAUCAGAACAGAACUCUUCUUUGAUCAAUCAUCUUUCAAGUUUCAAGGCUUUUUUACGUCUAGAAUUUCCUUUUUUUCUCUUUUGUUCAGGUAUUUAUUAUUAUUAUUAUUAUUAUUAUUAUUAAUUAUUAUUAUUUUGGCUCAGAGAAACUGUUGAUUGUUUCAACUCAGACCAGGACACAUAGAGAUAAACAGACCAGGGCUGUGGUGGGAGGCUGACACACAGUGAUAAUUAGUGACCAACAAAUCUCCUCACACUGAGAAAGAAAAGAGAAAUAAACAACAGCUAUUGCCUUUUUCCUGUUUCAGGCCUUUGCUUCAUCAGAAUGACAUUUUAGAGAACUGAAGUGAGGAAAUAUGUGAUUGAAAAUGAGCAGAUUUCAUUCUGGUUGAAAUACAUUCGUGUCUUCAGCAAUUGAGAGCGCAGCAGGGGUGAUGACAAAUGCCCAGCCCUAAGUGGAUCUGAAGGGCCACUUCAAUUAUUUUUGAAAAACACACCAGUCCAAACUGGUAUUAGCUCAGCUGGGACUCCUACACCUGUGACAGGGGAGAAGAUCUGAUCUAAACACCUGAAGCUUGCAGGCCAAGCCUGCGCAAUGCUACUGGCUUCACUCUGGAUUCUGUCACUCUGCAGCUCAUCAUGAAAGGUCACAUCAAGUGGGACUUCAGGAGGACAGCAGAAGCACUGAGGGGCCAGGCUUGACUGCACUCAGCAGAGAUAUGUACAGGGCCAAGAGAAAUUCUCCAAGGGUCCUCCCAGCAGCUCAAAACAAUGAUAGAAUAAAAUAAAAUAAAAUAAAAUAAAAUAAAUAAAGUAGUGGGAAGGGAGGAGCCUUGCAUCUGCUGGGUUGAUUCAGUGCAUAACGAGCAUUCUCUGCACUUUUAUAAGCUUGUCUAAUCUUCAGCCCAGCUUCAGUACGUUCCUCAUACAUGUUUUGUCCCAGCUAUCUGUUUCUGCCUUGUUUUGAUUUUCUUUUCAUGUAUGCUGUGAAUAUGUAAACACAUCUCUCAGGCAGUUUCACAUCAAGUGAAACCUGAUAGAAAACAGAUAUUACGUUUAAUUAUUUGUUAAAAGGCUUUUAGCCAGACUCCCUUUGGCACCCACUACACAUUAAGUAGGAGGGAGGCACUUUCUGUAGCUGCAGUUGGCAGCUGAUGCUCUCCGUGGCCUAAGAUGCAGCAGCAGAAGUGUGACCUGCAUUAGUCAAGGGAAGCUAAAAGUGAGGCAGAAUUCCUUUUACUUAAUCCUAAAUGAACAAAUUUUUAAUUCCCUUUGUUAUUAAGGACCGAUUCCUACAAUGCUUCUGUGGCUUAUAUGAGUACUUAUCUGCUGCUGACAUUCCCAGCUGUGUCAACAUGGGAAGUUCCAGGGGAAAGUCCCUCCCUGUGCUUUGAACUGUUUCAGGUUGUGGACAAUAUGCAUGCAAAAAUAAAAAUAUGGCCAAUUUUCCCUGUCGUGUACAUUCGUUUUUUUUUUCAUGCCAUCUCACUUAGAAUCAGCCCUCAUGUAGGACUUAAUGAAGAAAACCUUUCAGAAUCUCAACAUAUAUUUAAUUUCAGGCACGUUUCCACUUCAUCGACUUUUGUAGGACAUAGACACACACACACAGGAACAUGUCUAGUGCAAACAAACACCAAAGGAAGAACAGAGAAGUAGGUAGAUCGUAGGGACAAGCUGCGAUGUCCAGUCCUACAAUCUUUUACUGAAAUAGAUCUUCACUUCUAGGUGUUCUUUACCUUGUCAUCCUCUUUUUAUUUUGUUCUGAAGGGAGCAAUACAGAUACAUUUUACUCACAUGCUUUAUUAUAUCCAAAUAUUUGCUGCUGUUAGCCACAUUCCUCCCUUCCCAUUGAGAGAUAACACCCACUUCCAUAUUCUUCCCACAUCUGGAAACCCCCACAGAUGUUUGUUCUGUAAAACCACUCUCUGUUCCAGCAGCAGAGUGCCUGUGGCUACACUGAGGAUCAUAAAUUAAAAUAACGUAUGAAGGCCAACACACGUGGAUAGCACUGCAGAAGCAAGGAAAUAAUCCUCUGCAGAGAUAUGAAUGCUUGCAUUAUGAUGAAACAGAUUUUCAGGCCAAUUUAUCUGAACACUGUUGUGCUUAAGAGAACAAUGAUACUCAGACCCAGGAAUUUAUUUAAAAAUAAUAAUAAUAAAAAAGCAAAUGAAAAAGCUGCAGGUUGUUCAAAGCAAUGAAAAGGUGUUCGUAAGGUUUUUGAAAAGGCAGCCACAGUCCUAGCUUUCAGUGCAUCUGAAAUUCUAGGCUUUACUAAAGUUAGAUCCACCCAAACAUGUCAGAAUACAAAUGCAGACAUCUAGUGGUAGGCAAAAAAAAAAAAAAAAAAAAAAAGAAUACAGUCAUUUUUGAGUCGAGUAGCUGUCAGUUCCCCCACCCUUCCUUAUUCCACUUGACAGACUUCAUCCCCUUCCUUCCCAGGUCUGAGCUGGGUCAAGCAUGGAGUGGCUCUUCCUUCCUGAACUGGGUUUCCAUUUACCCAAGUUCGAAGCACUCUCUGGAGAGCUGGAGAAGCCCCCAUCUUCUCUCUUUUUGGAGCUGAACUCCCAAAAGGAUUUCUCUGAGACUUUGGUGCUAUUGAACUUGGAUCUAAGCUUUGAAAUGAUUCUGAAUUCCAAGACCAGCAUCAAGCAUGGAAUCCAUAUGUUGUCUACAGACAACAAUCAACUGGAAACAAAACGUGGCUCUAACUGCUCACCUAAAACAUGUAUCAUGGUGCUGAUGCAAAUAUGAACACUGAACAUUAGACUGGCUAAUCAAACACCCCAGAAAGGGACAUUUCAGUUUGAAUAUAAACACAAGGUGACAAAUGGGCUCCGAAGAGACACAGCUUCACGUAAUGAAAAGCAGUCACAGAAACAAACUUGAACAUUCUGUAUUUAUGUACUUAAUUGUUUCACUUUUUCACCUAAUGCAAAGAUUCUCCUAUUUGUGUGUACUUUUACUCAAGAUAUGAUUGCUGACACAAAAUAAAUAAAUAAAUAAAUAAAUCUUCUGCAUAGCCAGGUACAAAUUCCACAAGAGUGACUCAAAGCAAGGCACACAAAGAAGUAAAAUAUAUGCAUUGUGUGGAUUUUUUCAUUUGUUUCACAAAGCUGUAAAAAACAAAACAUUUACAGCCUUGCCAUUCUGCUACUUCUAUCUCUUUCUCUGAAAAAACAACAAAACACUGUUAUCAUUACGCUACAGUAGAAUUAGUUUGCUUUAAAAUAAAGUGUGUGACACUGCUCAAAAGCAUAUAGUAUACUUACCUCUAUAAUGCUGCAGCCAUGCUUAGGAUCCUAGAAGUACUGUGUAACGUCAUGGCUCUUGGGCUGUCAUAUUCUACCAGAAAUAUAAUAAGAUACUGCAACUUCACUGUCAACAUAACUGCUUUGGAACCAGUCCCUGCUCUGGAAAAAAUAAAAUGAGAAUGGGAAAGGAGUAUUUUAUCUUGCAUUUUGCAAGUGGGGAUUGGGAGAUUUGGCUCCUAAUCCAGAGCUCAUUGAUUCAGUGACAGCCCUUCCCAGUGAUUUGCUGAAGGUCUUCCAAGGAACUUUUUGCAGCAUUAAUCAAAAGUCUGUCUUCACCACAGAGAAAAGAGAUUGCAAAGAAAGGAGGAGAAAGACAGACUUGACACGCUACAUCUUUGGCAAACUCCAGAACAUUUCAUGCUCG
ensembl:lncRNA